GAUGCACGCUGGCGGCGUGCCUAAUACAUGCAAGUCGAGCGAACGGACGAGAAGCUUGCUUCUCUGAUGUUAGCGGCGGACGGGUGAGUAACACGUGGAUAACCUACCUAUAAGACUGGGAUAACUUCGGGAAACCGGAGCUAGUACCGGAUGAUAUUUUGAACCGCAUGGUUCAAAAGUGAAAGACGGUCUUGCUGUCACUUAUAGAUGGAUCCGCGCUGCAUUAGCUAGUUGGUAAGGUAACGGCUUACCAAGGCAACGAUGCAUAGCCGGCCUGAGAGGGUGGUCGGCCACACUGGAACUGUGACACGGUCCAGACUCCUACGGGAGGCAGCAGUAGGGAAUCUUCCGCAAUGGGCGAAAGCCUGACGGAGCAACGCCGCGUGAGUGAUGAAGGUCUUCGGAUCGUAAAACUCUGUUAUUAGGGAAGAACAUAUGUGUAAGUAACUGUGCACAUCUUGACGGUACCUAAUCAGAAAGCCACGGCUAACUACGUG
rnacentral:rRNA from 1 species